rnacentral:rRNA from 1 species
CCUACGGGCGGCAGCAGUGGGGAAUAUUGGGCAAUGGGCGCAAGCCUGACCCAGCAACGCCGCGUGAAGGAAGAAGGCUUUCGGGUUGUAAACUUCUUUUAUCAGGGACGAAGCAAGUGACGGUACCUGAUCAAUAAGCCACGGCUAACUACGUGCCAGCAGCCGCGGUAAUCCGUCGGUGGCAAGCGUAAUCCGGAUUUACUGGGUGUAAAGGGCGUGUAGGGGGGAGGGCAAGUCAGAUGUGAAAACUAUGGGCUCAACCCAUAGCCUGCAGUUGAAACUGUGCGUCUUGAGUGCGGGAGAGGCAAUCGGAAUGCCGGGUGUAGCGGUGAAAUGCGUAGAUAUACGGAGGAACACCAGUGGCGAAGGCGGAUUGCUGGACAGUAACUGACGCUGAGGCGCGAAAGCGUGGGGAGCAAACAGGAUUAGAUACCCCUGUAGUC